rnacentral:rRNA from 1 species
AGAGUUUGAUCAUGGCUCAGGAUCAACGCUGGCGGCGUGCCUAAUGCGUGCAAGUCGCACGGGCACUCUUCGGGGUGUCAGUGGCGAACGGCUGAGGAACACGUGCGUAUCUGCCGGUUCGUGGGGAAUAACGCGGAGAAAUCCGCGCUAAUACCGCGUACGCUUGCUCUUCGGAGCAAGGAAGGCCUUCGGGCGCGGACUGAGGAGCGCGCGGCCCAUCAGGUUGAUGGCGGGGUAAUGGCCCACCAUGCCGGUGACGGGUCGCUGGUCUGAGAGGAUGACCAGCCAGACUGGGACUGCGACACGGCCCAGACACCUACGGGUGGCAGCAGCAAGGAAUCUUCCGCAAUGGGCGCAAGCCUGACGGAGCAACGCCGCGUGGAGGACGACGGCCUUCGGGUUGUAAACUCCUUUUCUGGGGGAUGACACAGACAGUACCCCAGGAAUCAGCCCCGGCUAACUCUGUGCCAGCAGCCGCGGUAAGACAGAGGGUGCGAGCGUUAAUCGGAAUUACUGGGCGUAAAGGGUGCGUAGGCGGUUGUUUAAGUUAGGUGUGAAAUCCCCGGGCUUAACCUGGGAAUUGCAUUUAAUACUGAAUGGCUAGAGUAGAGUAGAGGGAAGUGGAAUUUCCGGUGUAGCGGUGAAAUGCGUAGAGAUCAGGAAGAACAUCGGUGGCGAAGGCGCUCUGCUGGACCAUAACUGACACUCAGGGACGAAAGCUAGGGGAGCGAAUGGGAUUAGAUACCCCCGUAGUCC